rnacentral:rRNA from 1 species
AGAGUUUGAUCAUGGCUCAGGACGAACGCUGGCGGCGCGCCUAACACAUGCAAGUCGAACGAGAGAUGAGGAGCUUGCUCUUCAAAUCGAGUGGCGAACGGGUGAGUAACGCGUGAGGAACCUGCCUCAAAGAGGGGACAACAGUUGGAAACGACUGCUAAUACCGCAUAAGCCCACGGCUCGGCAUCGAGCAGAGGGAAAAGGAGUGAUCCGCUUUGAGAUGGCCUCGCGUCCGAUUAGCUAGUUGGUGAGUAACGGCCACAAGGCAACGAUCGGUAGCCGGACUGAGAGGUUGAACGGCCACGAUUGGGACUGAGACACGGCCCAGACUCCUACGGGAGGCA